GUAGGUGAACCUGCGGAAGGAUCAUUAUUGAAAUAAACCUGAUGGGUUGCUGCUGGUUCUUUAAUGAACAUGUGCGCACUUGUCAUCUUUAUAUCUCCACCUGUGCACCUUUUGUAGACCUGGACAAGUUUCUUAAUGCUAGCAUUAAGGUUUUGGGAUUGACUUUGUCUCUCCUUAUGUCUCCAGAUCUAUGUUUAUUCAUAUACCCUAAUGUAUGUUAUAGAAUGUAAUAAAGUGGGCCUUUGUGCCUAUAACACUAUACAACUUUCAGCAACGGAUCUCUUGGCUCUC
rnacentral:misc_RNA from 1 species